UAAAUAAAUCUGCAUUUGAAGGUCUGGCCAUGUAGCUGUAUGGAAAGUGAGCGAAAUAACAAGGAAAAGACGAAGAAUAUGGCCUGUCUAGUUAAUUUCUUGAGCAGGAAACCGGAUCAGUGUGUAUGUGAUCCGCUUCCUGGAGAACCUCCAUGGUGACAGAGGAUGAGUUGCAAACAAAGUGGCGUACGAUGCAGAAGAGGGUGUGAUGGAUCCGACCACUGGGGGAAAGGAGGAAGGCGAAAUCGUGAAGGAAACAGCAUUUGAGUUGACUUUGAAGAUGAAUAGGAGUUGAAUGAGUAGGAAAGAAGAAAAUAGACAUUUGAAGCAGCAGGAUGGACACAUGCACAAAGGCAUGAUAUAAAGAGCAGGAUGUGGGAGCAUGGGUAAUGCAUGGAACGAUGUGGACGUGUGCAGUGGUGGGGGCGGGGGGUGAAGCGGGGAGAUAAAGCUGGGAAAUACAGGAUCCAAGAUAAACAGCUGUCACAAACGCUCUGUGUAUACACUCCUAUUGGUUUGUAGACUCUGAUAAAGGGAAAUGGUAGUC